UUACGAAAACUAACCGUAGACAGCGGGUGCGAAAGCUUAAUUUCCCGCCGAGGUACAAUAUAAAAUAUUGAUCUCGCUGUCUAUGACGCGGGAUUUUUUUAUG
rnacentral:sRNA from 1 species